GACAGAGGAGCCAAGCGUUGUCCGGACUGACUGGGCGUAAAGCGCACGCAGGCGGCGCUGUGCGUGGGGUGUGAAAGCUCUUGGCUUAACUGAGAGAGGCCAUCCCCAUACGGCAGCGCUCGAGCGGUGCAGAGGUCCGCGGAAUUGCCGGUGUAGUGGUGAAAUGCGUAGAGAUCAGGAAGAACACCGGUGGCGAAAGCGCUCUGCUGGACCUAAACUGACACUGAGGGACGAAAGCUAGGGGAGCGAAUGGG
rnacentral:rRNA from 1 species